UACGGGGGUGGCAAGCGUUGUUCGGAAUUACUGGGCGUAAAGGGCGCGCAGGCGGUCGUUCAAGUCGCGUGUGAAAGCCCCCGGCUCAACUGGGGAGGGUCACGCGAUACUGAUCGACUCGAAGGCAGGAGAGGGUAGUGGAAUUCCCGGUGUAGUGGUGAAAUGCGUAGAUAUCGGGAGGAACACCUGCGGCGAAGGCGGGUUGCUGGGCUGACACUGACGCUGAUGCGCGAAAGCUAGGGGAGCGAACGGG
rnacentral:rRNA from 1 species